rnacentral:lncRNA from 1 species
UGUGGCAUGUGAUGUUUACAUGAUCCUAGGAAGAAAAUGGAUGAGCCGAUGUUGACAAGAGCUUAAGUAAGUCUCCAUGUACAUCAAGUACUUUGGAGACGCCAAAGGUGUAACUUUAAAGGGCAAAGACCUCAGGACAAAGCAACUUGAAGAAGCCAGGAACUAAAGACGGGACAUUUGGUUCAAAACUUGAAGUGGCUCCCCGCCCCCCGCCCCGAGAUUUCAUGACAGAAAAACAACAACAGAAUCAAUAUGACUACUGAGAAUACAUUUUUAAAAAUUAACGUGACAUCUUGGAUCUUAUAAGAGUCAAGCCCUUCAGGAAAUAAACCAUGAGAGAGACUGGAUUGAAAUCUGUGCAUUGCCAAGGGCAAGAAGCUGAGAACAUGGAGAGAGAGAAGUUUCAGCAGAAGGCUCUGAAGCAAACUAAGCAGAAGAAAUCCAAGUCGGCUGAAUUUCUGAUGGUUAAAGAAGAUAGAGAAGCUACAGAAGGCACUGGAAAUCCAGCUUUUAACAUGAGCAGUCCAGAUCUCUCAGCAUGUCAGACUGCAGAAAAGAAAGUUAUUAGACACGACAUGCCGGAUCGCACCCUUGCAGCUCACCAACAAAAAUUCAGGCUGCCAGCCUCUGCAGAACCAAAAGGAAAUGAAUACGGCAGAAAUUACUUUGACCCACUGAUGGAUGAGGAAAUAAACCCAAGGCAGUGUGCGACGGAGGUCAGCAGAGAAGGAUUUGAAAUUCGAAGGGGAAGGCCUCAACGAAUACAUUCCUAUGUCACUUUUAAAGACUGGUAAAACAUUUGAGAAAACUCCAAGUCAACCAUUCAUUGCAGACCUAAAUAUUUGUAAAAAGGACAGUGCAGCCCAGCUUGGUACCCUCACAGAAGUAACUAAUGACUCAAAGGGAGCAGCAGGACCCCGCUGGAAGUUCCUGCGUAAUUCAAGAACCCCACCUUUUGUGGAAAAUGAGCAGUCUCAACCACCUCAGCCUCUGCAAAUCCAGAUCAGAUGCCUGAGGGGCCUUAAAGACAAGGCUCCUCCAGGCUCUUAUGUCCUCAAAGUGUCCAAGUGUCCCUGCUUGGUCGACUGGGAGGCUGUGUCUUGCAGUGGUGGCAAACGGAGCAACUAAAGACCAGAAAACACUCCGUCAGGCACAAUGGAAACUUUUAUGAUGUGGGGGUGUAUUUCCACGAAAACCUUUAUGUGGGAGCAUUCCUAAAAAAAUCGGUCCCUGUUCUAUGGACUAUGAUCCCAAUCUCUUAGAAGAAGACGAUGAACUACACUCUCAGGGAGAUAGCCUGACGGAUCAUUCUGUGAAAGGAAAAUCAACUGUUUGGAGAAUUGGAGAAGCUGAAGAUUAUUCACAGGACAUAUCUUACUUGGAGGAACUGGAGGAACACCGAUUUUCUGUUUGCUGUUCUUCAGUUGCUGAUAGUAGAUAUGGAGACUUCUUCAAGCAUCUCCAUUUUGUGCUGGUAUCAGCGUCUUCAGAACUUCAGUUAUCUCAAUGGCAAAGCCAGGGCUUCUGGUACAUUAUACUGCUGAUGUUUUUUCUCUGGUUCCUGAGGCUCUACCUGCAUUACUUGGGCCAGUGGCUUUUCCUCCAGGCCAUUUCAACUCCUGUUACAAAAUUCCAUUUUUCUCUUCACAUCGUUGAGCUUUGCUACCCAACUUCCUCACUUCACAUUGGAGAAGAGCUUCCCGUGGUUGUGAUGGGGCCUUUAAUGCUGAAUGCAAUCCUGCUUCUUUUGGUUUUGAUCAGAUGGGGCUGUCAGCUACUCUUUGCCUCCUGUCCUGAUGUCUUGUCAAAGUUAAUCAUUACCAUGGGACUAUGGACAAUUCUGGACCCAUUGGCAGUGUUUAUACUGGAUACUCUCCUGGGGGUAAGUCAAAUGAAAUAAUCAGGAUAUGAGUCCUUGACAUAGAGUUUAGCUUUAGUGGAUGAAUCAUUUGACAUGGAAAGUUUCAAUCAUAAUGAACAAUCAGUAUGCAUCUUAAAUCGAAGUUAAGUUUCUUCUGAUAAAAAAGUCAUGGAUGUCUAAUAUAAUCAAUUUAAGUGUAAUUUUAACUCUCAUAAAUAAACACUUGAAAAAUA